AGCGGCGAACGGGUGAGUAACACGUAGGUGAUCUGCCCAUCAGACGGGGACAACGAUUGGAAACGAUCGCUAAUACCGGAUAGGACGAAAGUUUAAAGGUGCUUCUGGCACCGCUGAUGGAUGAGCCUGCGGCGCAUUAGCUAGUUGGUAGGGUAAAGGCCUACCAAGGCGACGAUGCGUAGCCGACCUGAGAGGGUGAACGGCCACACUGGGACUGAGACACGGCCCAGACUCCUACGGGAGGCAGCAGUAGGGAAUCUUCGGCAAUGGGCGAAAGCCUGACCGAGCAACGCCGCGUGAAUGAUGAAGGCCUUCGGGUUGUAAAAUUCUGUUAUAAGGGAAGAACGACUUUAGUAGGAAAUGGCUAGAGUGUGACGGUACCUUAUGAGAAAGCCACGGCUAACUACGUGCCAGCAGCCGCGGUAAUACGUAGGUGGCGAGCGUUAUCCGGAAUUAUUGGGCGUAAAGAGCGCGCAGGUGGUUGAUUAAGUCUGAUGUGAAAGCCCACGGCUUAACUGUGGAGGGUCAUUGGAAACUGGUCGACUUGAGUGCAGAAGAGGGAAGUGGAAUUCCAUGUGUAGCGGUGAAAUGCGUAGAGAUAUGGAGGAACACCAGUGGCGAAGGCGGCUUCCUGGUCUGUAACUGACGCUGAGGCGCGAAAGCGUGGGGAGCAAACAGGAUUGGAUACCCUGGUAGUCCACGCCGUAAACGAUGAGUGCUAAGUGU
rnacentral:rRNA from 1 species